UACAGAGGGUGCGAACGUUGUUCGGAAUUACUGGGCGUAAAGCGCAUGUAGGCGGCAGCGCAAGUCGGGCGUGAAAUCCCACGGCUCAACCGUGGAAGUGCACUCGAAACUGCGCAGCUAGAGUCCUGGAGAGGAAGGUGGAAUGCUUGGUGUAGAGGUGAAAUUCGUAGAUAUCAAGCGGAACACCGGUGGCGAAGGCGACCUUCUGGACAGUGACUGACGCUGAGAUGCGAAAGCGUGGGGAGCAAACAGG
rnacentral:rRNA from 1 species